rnacentral:tRNA from 1 species
GGUUGUGGCUCUGCGGUAGAGUGCUCGCCUCGCACGUGCGAGACCCUGGGUUCAAUCCUCAGCACCA